rnacentral:rRNA from 1 species
UACGGAGGAUCCAAGCGUUAUCCGGAUUUAUUGGGUUUAAAGGGUGCGUAGGCGGAUUGAUAAGUUAGAGGUGAAAUGUCCGAGCUCAACUCGGGAACUGCCUCUAAUACUGUUGAUCUAGAGAGUAGAUGCGGUAGGCGGAAUGUAUGGUGUAGCGGUGAAAUGCUUAGAGAUCAUACAGAACUCCGAUUGCGAAGGCAGCAUACCGGCGCCCUACUGACGCUGAGGCACGAAAGCGUGGGUAUCGAACAGG